rnacentral:rRNA from 1 species
UACGAAGGGGGCUAGCGUUGCUCGGAAUCACUUGGCGUAAAGCGCACGUAGGCGGAUCUUUAAGUCAGGGGUGAAAUCCUGGAGCUCAACUCCAGAACUGCCUUUGAUACUGGGGAUCUCGAGUCCGGGAGAGGUGAGUGGAACUGCGAGUGUAGAGUUGAAAUUCGUAGAUAUUCGCAAGAACACCAGUGGCGAAGGCGGCUCACUGGCCCGGUACUGACGCUGAGGUGCGAAAGCGUGGGGAGCAAACAGG